rnacentral:rRNA from 1 species
UACGGGGGAUACAAGCGUUAUCCGGAAUCAUUGGGCGUAAAGCGCCUGUAGGUUGUCUACUAAGUCUGUUGUUAAAGAUUAGGGCUUAACCCUAGAAAAGCAAUGGAAACUUGUAGACUAGAGUAUGGUAGGGGUAGAGGGAAUUUCUAGUGUAGCGGUGAAAUGCGUAGAUAUUAGAAAGAACACCAGUGGCGAAAGCGCUCUACUGGACCAUUACUGACACUCAGAGGCGAAAGCUAGGGUAGCAAAAGGGAUUAGAUACCCCUGUAGUCCUAGCCGUAAACGAUGGAUACUAGAUGUUGUGUAUAACAGUAUCGUAGCUAACGCGUUAAGUAUCCCGCCUGGGGAGUACGCUCGCAAGGGUG